UCCUCCGGAGAUCUUAGGCGAAAAGGAUAGAGAACGGGCUUGCCCGCUCUCCUGCGUCCCAAUGUGCCAAGAGGGAAAACAACCCUCAAGGCACUAAAGUAUAUCAAAGUUUAAAAUUUCUGGAGAUAAAUCCUUUGCAGACGACUUAAAUAAAGAACGGGGUAUUGUACGUUGUAGAGUAGCCUUGUUGCUACGAUCUUCUGAGAUUAAGCCUUUCGAAUAGGGUGAAGCCAGAGGAAACUCUGGUGGAGGCUCGUAGCGAUUCUGACGUGCAAAUCGAUCGUCAAAUUUGGGUAUAGGGGCGAAAGACUAAUCGAACUGUCUAGUAGCUGGUUCCCUCCGAAGUUUCCCUCAGGAUAGCUGGAACUUACGGCAGUUUUAUCAGGUAAAGCGAAUGAUUAGAGGUCUUAGGGUUUUUUUCUGUGGUCGGCGUCCGCGUUGCCUUCGGGGAAAUUGCUAUAACUUCUGAACCAUAGCAGCUAAGAGACUAAAACUUGGUUUCUGCGGGAGUUUUGAUUCCAUUAACAUGUCGAGGAGACGCUGCAUGUUACCAUGGCUGUCAACAGGCACAAUCGGCACAUGGGUUAAAGAUCGCCCGAAGAUUACCCUGCUAGCAAAGUUUUUUUCCUGUUCACGAGUUUGUAUCAGUUUACUUAUCCGUGUCGCGCCUCUUUGAGCAACGACACGGAUAAAAGAAUAAAAAAGAGAAAGAAAGCAUAGCUAGCUGGGUACCCGAAGAUAUCUGAUACCAGUGUAUCAUUCUCUGGGUAUAGGAACCCGAUAAAAAUAAGACACGUAACUGAAUCACUGUGUAUUCAACCUCUUUUCUUGCAAGCGUGCUACAACUCACGUGGUAUAUCGUGACCGCGUUGCGUUACACACGUUAUCAAAUAAAUUUCCAAGUCUGAAAAAAUAACGAGUCAUUGUCCUAUUGUUAACAUGAAACUGAAAUUUUAACUUAAAGCGGUCUGGUGGUUUCACGACUCUCCCUGAGCGAGUCGUCGUUACACCCGGUGUACUUUCUGGCAUCUCUGCUGGAGCAGCUGGUGCUUGUUGUGCUGGUUGUGCUGGUUGUGCUUGUUGUGCUUGUUGUGCUUGUUGUGCUUGUUGUGCUUGUUGUGCUUGUUGUGCUUGUUGUGCUUGUUGUGCUGGUUGUGCUUGUUGUGCUUGUUGUGCUUGUUGUGCUUGUUGUG
rnacentral:ncRNA from 1 species